ACGAACGCUGGCGGCGUGCCUAAUACAUGCAAGUUGAGCGAUGAAGAUUGGUGCUUGCACCAAUUUGAAGAGCAGCGAACGGGUGAGUAACGCGUGGGGAAUCUGCCUUUGAGCGGGGGACAACAUUUGGAAACGAAUGCUAAUACCGCAUAACAACUUUAAACAUAAGUUUUAAGUUUGAAAGAUGCAAUUGCAUCACUCAAAGAUGAUCCCGCGUUGUAUUAGCUAGUUGGUGAGGUAAAGGCUCACCAAGGCGAUGAUACAUAGCCGACCUGAGAGGGUGAUCGGCCACAUUGGGACUGAGACACGGCCCAAACUCCUACGGGAGGCAGCAGUAGGGAAUCUUCGGCAAUGGACGAAAGUCUGACCGAGCAACGCCGCGUGAGUGAAGAAGGGUUUCGGAUCGUAAAACUCUGUUGGUAGAGAAGAACGUUGGUGAGAGUGGAAAGCUCAUCAAGUGACGGUAACUACCCAGAAAGGGACGGCUAACUACGUG
rnacentral:rRNA from 1 species